GCCCACAGUUGCCAGCGUACUCUCUGGAGUGACGGGUACACUGUGGGGACCGCCGCUAGCUAAAGCGGAGGAAGGAAUGGGCAACGGUAGGUCAGUACUGCCCCGAAUAUCCCGGGCUACACGCGAGCUACAAUGGUUGGUACAAUGGGUAUCUACCCGAAAGGGGACGGGAAUCUCCUAAAACCAAUCUUAGUUCGGAUUGAGGGCUGCAACUCGCCCUCAUGAAGCUGGAAUCCGUAGUAAUCGCGUUUCAACAGAACGCGGUGAAUACGUCCCUGCUCCUU
rnacentral:rRNA from 1 species